rnacentral:rRNA from 1 species
UGGAGGUAGUGACAAUAAAUCACAAUGCGGAACAAUGUUUUGCAAUUGGAUUGAGAACAACGUACAAACCUUAUCGAUAAACAAUUGGAGGGCAAGUCUGGUGCCAGCAGCCGCGGUAAUUCCAGCUCCAAUAGCGUAUAUUAACGUUGUUGCAGUUAAAAAGCUCGUAGUUGAAAUGAAGGGUAGUUGUGUAAUGAAUACAUUCGUGUAUUUUGUUAUUCAACUACCCUCCUUCUAAAUUCGAUAUAUGAGUAUUAAUUUACUUGUAUAUGGUUUUAGACGUUUACUGUGAGAAAAUUAGAGUGUUCAAAGCAGGCAUUUGCUUGAAUAUAUUAGCAUGGAAUAAUCAUGUAUGAUUUUCAUGAUGUAUUUGAUUGGUUUGGUUCAUGAGAAUAAGAUUAAAAGGGACAGUUGGGGGUAUUCAUAUUCAAUAGUCAGU